GACGUAGGAUGCAAGCGUUGUCCGGAAUUAUUGGGCGUAAAGAGUUCGUAGGCGGUUACUUAAGUCUGGUGUUAAAGACGGGAGCUCAACUCCCGCAUGGCAUCGGAAACUGGGUGGCUAGAGUGUGGUAGAGGUCUCGGGAAUUCCAGGUGUAGCGGUGAAAUGCGUAGAUAUCUGGAGGAACACCGGUGGCGAAAGCGCGAGACUGGGCCAUAACUGACGCUGAGGAACGAAAGCGUGGGGAGCAAACAGG
rnacentral:rRNA from 1 species